AAAGACAUCCUAAGGGUGUUGUGUUGACUUGUACAUGAAUUAGAUUUAAGUGAGGUGGAGCUACAUAGUCAUCAGCCUCACUUUCUCUUCCAGAGUCAUUGAAGUCCACUGGCAAGACAGAAGUCAGGAAGACUGGCGGUGGCUGAGGAUGCAGUGGGUGCCUUGGCCCUUCUAAAUUACGGUCUUUCCCAGGUUUCAGUUUGUCCAAGGCAAGGCCUAUUCAAUGAUUAAGGGCUAGGAUUCUGUUUGGUGUAUUUUUUAGAUCUGUUUAGAAGAGUGCAUGGAGGGGAGCCCACCACAAUACUUUCUAUCACUCCACCAUCUUGACUCUGCCUCUUCUGGUGUCUUCUAGCCUGUGUUUGGACAUGAACUCUUUCCUUAUCCAAAGAUCUGAAAGGUCUGUGAGUCCCACCCAAAUGCUUAGUAUAAAGAGAGGCUCUCCAGAAUACCUGUAGUGCUUCAUCCAGACCAGCUCAGCUGAUCCUCUCAAGAGAAACCAUCCAUGUCCUCCACAGAUGCUCCUUUCUCCUUCAUCUCCUGUGUGCAGGACAGACACUGAAAAGAAGAGAAGGAGCCCAGAUGGCACUCACCCAGAUUGCCAGGUUAGGAUGUGGUGUGG